GGAAGGAGAGGCUGUGCAGAAGGAAGCAUUUCCCAGAGGAAGCAGUGAUUCUGUGCCAGCCUCUGCUGCAGGAAGGGAGGCGAUGCCAGGCACAGUCACUGGAGAUGAGGUUGAUGGGAAGGCUCCUCCAUUAGCUUGGCUGAAUGAAGUUCUGAAGCCCUUGGAGCCUCCUGCAGCUGUGUCUGCAGGGAGGAAUUUUCCUGCCCCUUUGCUGAUUGCUCCACGCAAGCCCGGCUCCCUUCGCAGGGGU